rnacentral:rRNA from 1 species
CGACGUGGGCAACCUGCCCCAUAGAGGGGGACAACAGCUGGAAACGGCUGCUAAUACCGCAUAACAAGGAGAGAGCGCAUGUUCUUUUCUUCAAAGAUUUAUCGCUAUGGGAUGGACCCGCGUCUGAUUAGCUAGUUGGUGAGGCAACGGCUCACCAAGGCGACGAUCAGUAGCCGGCUUGAGAGAGUGAACGGCCACAUUGGGACUGAGACACGGCCCAGACUCCUACGGGAGGCAGCAG